rnacentral:tRNA from 1 species
UGGGGUGUAGCUUAUCAGACAAAGCACCUGCCUAGCAUGCAGGAAGCCUGGGCUCAAUUCCCAAUAACACAC